rnacentral:lncRNA from 1 species
CAGAGUUAAGAAAAAGCUGGUCCAAUUCUCUAGUGCUUGGUCUUUAAAUUAUCAUAAAAAGAAAUGGGAAUUUCUUCUUUGAAAAUGUGU